AUCCUUUAAUUUUUUUUUUUUUUUUAUAUUAUUGAAUUGCUGUUUAUCAGCUAUGGCAAUAAAUGUUUGAAGACAGAACCGAGACGGACCCGGGGGCGGUACCCGGCGCCUCCACCAAAAACAAGGGGGCGAAAUAGGAUCGACGUGCGUGGAAUUUUCAAAACUUUGCUCGGUGUAGUUCCACCGUUAUCGGACUAAAAUAAAUAUGUGCUAACGAUAAUGAAAUGGCACUCGCUG
rnacentral:tmRNA from 1 species